GUGUUCGUUUCGGCAGCACAUCUACACAAAUCACAGUGAUACAGAGAUUAGCGUGGCCCCUGCGCAAGGAUGACACACAAAUUCGUGAUGUGUUCCAUUAAAAA